rnacentral:tRNA from 1 species
GCCUUUUUAGUAUAAAAGUACAUUUGGCUUCCAACCAGAAAGUCUAGAUUAUUAUCUAGAAAAGGCA